CCGGUGUUCCCUGUUUCAAAUGUGAACUAAUGCUGCUUUUUCUUUGCUUUGUUUUGCUCUCCGUGGCAUUAUCUAUUUCUUGGCUUCGUUAUGGACGCUCCCCCAUCAUAGACGAGCUGAUCUGCGGCCACUCUCUCUUGAGUUUUCUUGCUGAUCAAACUUGGGUUUUAUGUAGUAGAAAAGGCUGAGCGGUUAACCCCUUUGCGUUCUAAUUUCGAUGCUCUCUCCAUAAGGACUUUUAGUUCUCAAGCAGAUUUACCCAUGAAAGCUAUGUCAUUUCAUUCAAUUGCAGCUAUUUUGGAUGAACACAUUAAUCGGAUCAGCGAUUUACCAGUGGUUGAUGUUGUCUCUCGAUUGGUGCUCCAUUUCUACAAUUUUUAGAGAGCAUGAAAAGGAUCUUCGAGGAUUUUGUGGAUGGAUUUUCUGAAAAGAUGUUGGUGAAAAAUUACAUUUCUAGUGGAUUUAAGCUUAAUGAAAUUCUGUUAUUUCACAACUUCAAAUGGAAACUCUUACCACAAAAUAGAUCCUUUUAUGUAAUUCAAUACCUAUCAGAGGCUGUGUUUCUUACCACAAAAUAGAUCCUUUCAUGUAAUUCAAUACUUAUCAGUGGCUGUGUUUGAGUUUGGAGAGGUCAUCCAAUUCAAGGAUUCUAAUAGAUGUCAUUUUUUGUUUGUCUAUUGGUA